rnacentral:rRNA from 1 species
CGGGGGGAGCUACCAUGCAGUCGAGCGGUACAUUUCAAAGCUUGCUUUUGAAGAUGACGAGCGGCGGACGGGUGAGUAAUGCCUGGGAAUUUGCCCAUUUGUGGGGGAUAACAGUUGGAAACGACUGCUAAUACCGCAUACGCCCUACGGGGGAAAGCAGGGGACCUUCGGGCCUUGCGCUGAUGGAUAGGCCCAGGUGGGAUUAGCUAGUAGGUGAGGUAAAGGCUCACCUAGGCGACGAUCCCUAGCUGGUCUGAGAGGAUGAUCAGCCACACUGGGACUGAGACACGGCCCAGACUCCUACGGGAGGCAGCAGUGGGGAAUAUUGCACAAUGGGGGAAACCCUGAUGCAGCCAUGCCGCGUGUGUGAAGAAGGCCUUCGGGUUGUAAAGCACUUUCACCGAGGAGGAAAGGGUGUAAGUUAAUACCUUACAUCUGUGACGUUACUCGCAUAAUAAGCACCGGCUAACUCCGUGCCAGCAGCCGCGGUAAUACGGAGGGUGCGAGCGUUAAUCGGAAUUACUGGGCGUAAAGCGUGCGCAGGCGGUUUGUUAAGCGAGAUGUGAAAGCCCCGGGCUCAACCUGGGAACCGCAUUUCGAACUGGCAAACUAAAGUCUUGUAGAGGGGGGUAGAAUUCCAGGUGUAGCGGUGAAAUGCGUAGAGAUCUGGAGGAAUACCGGUGGCGAAGGCGGCCCCCUGGACAAAGACUGACGCUCAGGCACGAAAGCGUGGGAGCAAACAGGAUUAGAUACCCUGGUAGUCCACGCCGUAACGAUGUCUACUCGAAGUUUGGUGUCUUGAACACUGUGCUCUCAAGCUAACGCAUUAAGUACACCGCCUGGAGAGUACGGCCGCAAGGUUAAAACUCAAAUGAAUUGACGGGGGCCCGCACAAGCGGUGGAGCAUGUGGAUUUAAUUCGAUGCAACGCGAAGAACCUUACCUACUCUUGACAUGCACAGAACUUUUUCGAGAUGAAUUGGUGCCUUCGAGAACUGUGAGACAGGUGCUGCAUGGUCUG